CCUACGGGAGGCAGCAGUGGGGAAUAUUGCGCAAUGGGCGAAAGCCUGACGCAGCGACGCCGCGUGAGGGAUGAAGGUCUUCGGAUCGUAAACCUCUGUCAGCAGGGAAGAACGGUCACUGUGCUAAUCAGCAGUGAAUUGACGGUACCUGCAAAGGAAGCACCGGCUAACUUCGUGCCAGCAGCCGCGGUAAUACGGAGGGUGCGAGCGGUAAUCGGAAAUACUGGGCGUAAAGCGAUCGUAGGCGGUAUGUCAAGUCAAGGGUGAAAUCCCCGCGCUCAACGUGGGAACGGCCAAUGAAACUGGCAAACUAGAGUGUGACAGAGGAUAGUGGAAUUCCAGGUGUAGGAGUGAAAUCCGUAGAUAUCUGGAGGAACAUCAGUGGCGAAGGCGACUAUCUGGCACAUAACUGACGCUGAGGAGCGAAAGCGUGGGUAGCAAACAGGAUUAGAUACCCUAGUAGUC
rnacentral:rRNA from 1 species